GAAGAAAGCCCACGUACAACACGGAAUGAUGGUUAGCAGAUUAGGGUGUAAACCUCACAAAAUCCGAAAUGGUACCUUUGGUUUCAGCUGCUGCGGUCUGGCGUUGUGUGGACAACACUAACCUAACUGAGCUAUGAUGGGCAGACUGGACAACACCAACCUAACUUCUGCUAGGCAGACUGGACGACUGGGCUUUAAAUCCAUGAAGUGGCCUGGUAACGGGACACGGUCUGCUUAGCUGGAAAACAUCUCACUGUUGCUUAUUUCCCAAGGGCUCAUUUAAAAACUACUAACUUGAGGCAAAUAAUAAAUAUCAAUACCACAGUGGAACGAGAGUAUGUAUGUACGAUAACGACAGUCUCGCUCCAUAAAGUU